GUCGACAAGUUAUUAUUUUAAAUAUAUUUUAAACAUAAAUACUUAUAUUAUGUAGAAAGAAAAUAAACUGAUUUAAAUGAACGAUUAUAUAGUGAUUGUACUUAGGCUUUGAUACAAGAUAAUAUUAAUUUAUUGAUAUAAAACGCGUUAAAUGCCUUAUAUAUAAAUACAUUACGUAUAUUUAAAGAAUAUUAUAAUAUUUCGUUUAACUUAUGAUUAGGUAGUAAAUCGUACGACCGUGUAUAACCGCCUACAUUGAUUAAAUUUUAAGUUUGAUAUCAUCAAUAAACAAAAACAAAAAAAAAAAAAAAGGUAAGUAGUAGAACAAACAUUUGAGAAAUACAUACUCGUAAUUAAAAAUAAUAUGGUAAUCUUUGUUUUGUAAAUCGAUAAGCGUGACUUGAAAACCCAGUUAACCAAUCUAUUUUUUUCUUAAACAAUUAAACGGUUUAAUAAAUAUGAAAAUAAUGUUAUAAUAAAUUCACGGAUAAUGAAGAUUAGGAUGGGAUAUAACCAACUGAGGCUGCAUUUUAUUUUCGUGAUCCUCAACUUAUAAUAAACGUGAGGCAAAUGUUUGUUUACAUUUUUCUAUAAAAUAUUGGAGUGUCAAACAAGUGACACAUUGUAGACACACUACAAUAAUGAAAACUACGGUCUUUAUUGAUCUGAUGAUAUGUCUCAUCCAUGUUUUAUUACUUAUGUGAACGAAUUUGGCCCCAUUUAUCACAAUGACAAUGAAUUGAAUUUAUGCGAUUUUAUCAAUAUUUGCAGGUUGUAUAUUCAGGUCGGUUUCUUAUGCGUCUCUUGAAAUUACAAUUUUAGACGAAUACCUAACCGUAUAUUGCAUGGUUCACGGUUUGGAAUCUUUUAAAAUUUAAUGUUAUUUUUCGAGAAUCCGAUAAAAUAAAUUCGGUGCAUUAUAAAUCGGUGAACACAAAAAAUAAGAAAUAUUGCUGGAAUACCGCCUUUGGAAAAUAUGAUAAUAUUAUAAAAUGUGACUACGUAACUAUAUGAUCAUAAAUUAUUAUGAUAUGAUGUGCGACAAAAAUUAAACAUACCAAAUAAUUUCUAACAAAUCAUAAUGAUUAUUAGUACCUCUAUAACGUUGUAAUAAUUUUAUUUUUAUUUUCAUAAGUUGAAGAUACUUUGUGCCCAUAUAUAAUUAUUACAUAGAUACGUCCAAUAAAAACAGCCCGAAUGAUGGAUUUUACGUGAUUAUACAGAUCGCUGACGUUUCAAAAUUAAUUGACAUACCGCUGAUAAACUGCUCGUAUGGAUAUUCCUUUUACUUUGAUGUUGUGUUUCAUAAAAUGUUCCACGUGUUCCUUAAAUCUUUCGCCUGUAUACAUUUUGUAUCACAAAGGCGAACAAUGAAAGUGAGCGGUGGAUAAGGAAUCCAUACACUCUUCCCAAUAUUUCGUCCAAGGUUUUGUACAUCAAAAACGGUUAUAUUGUAUAAUAUAAUAAUAGAGUCUAAUACUACAUUAUAUGAAAAUAAUAAAUUCCCAUAUGGUUAUAUAUUGAAUUUAUGAAAAUUAUCGAUAAAAAUAAAUUUCUACCCACAUAGGUGUGUUUAGGCUGGCUGAAAGGACAAACGCCAUUAUUUUUAGGGAUUUCCAUUAGAGAAGUAAGAACUUAUGGUACUUAUGAAACAUCUUAUAAAUUUAAAAAUAGAUUAUUGCCCAAUAAUUAUCUUAUUAAACCAAUUUUACUUAUCAUCUUAGUCUAACUUAAUAAUUUAUUGAAAUUUUGAAUUAUGUACCUACAUAUUGAAAUAAUAAAAAAAAUACUUUGGUUUAUAAUCGGGGGACAGCUGCUUACUUGGCUUCUUCGUAAACACGACUAUGAUUAUCUAUGUAUAUGAAUUCAAAUCUAUAUUAGAGUAAUGAAUAAUGAUUAUAUGAAAAUCAAAAUUCAAAUGAUGAACACUUUUAAAAUAUAUAUUAAAAAGUUCACUUUGAAUCACUUUCGGUUUAGAAUCUAGAUUCUUAUUCAAAGCCUCGAUUAAACAAAACGAAAACGCAAGCUGCAGCAUACCAGACACUUGUUACAUAUUUUAUAUACUAUAAUAAUAAUACCUAGUACCUACCUAGCUGAAUAAAUUACGUGUUGCCCCCGUGUAAACAGUUUUUGCC